GUCUAUGGCAACACUACCCUGAAUGCACUCAAUCUUUUCUAAUCUCAGAAACUAGGCAGAGUCUGGCCUUAUUGUUACUUAGGUGAGAGAUCACCUUGGGUACCAUGUAGGCUUAAUAAAUA
rnacentral:rRNA from 1 species